AAGUGACAAAACAUUUUACCAGUGUGGCCUGACUAGAAGUUCAUUUGGUCAGAUAUGUCUCCAGUACUGGCCAUAAGUAGAUGUCUGGGAAAGGCAAAGAACACGACAAGAACACAAUACUUUCCCUUUUUCCUUUCUCAGCCUUUUGGGGAAAAAUGGCCUUCAAUCUUUGGCUGACCAGUGUGGUGUACACAUAAACCUCAGCAUUUUCCAUCAGUACCCAUCUCAUGUUUCAGUGCCUAUUUGUACUUUAAUUGUUUCUCGUGACUUGCUGGCUCUGCUGGGCUAGGGCUUACAUGUGGCAGAUCAAGAUCAUUUUGUGAGGCACAUGUCUGCACAGAGUGAAGGACAGCUAUUGCACUGGGAAACAUUAAACCUCUGGUUUAGCUAGACAAAACAGAUUGGAAGGGGAAAAGGCACACAUCAUGGUCUUUGAUUCUUUAAGUUAGGCACUAAUUAUAAACACAUUCCUAAAAUCUGACAGAUAGUACAUUGCUGCACAGUCAUGACAGCAAAACCCUUCAUAGCAAUUUGAAGCUCAAGGAAAUUUCCAUUGCCACAGCACUCGACCUUCUUCACAGGGAAUAGAGAGAAAACAUUUGCUUGCUCUGGGGGAGAGCAGAGCAUGCUGAUGGAGUAGGCUGCACAUCCUUGGCUGGAUGCUGCCACAAACCACUCAGGCAGUAGAGAAAGGGAUACUCCAAGGUCUAGACCAUGUCCAAGGGUCCCAGAUAACCAUGGUGCCUACACACUCCUUGAUGGGACCUUUCAGAGGAGACAUCAGUCUCAAAAGUAGCUGUAAGUAUUCCCAUUAUUACUUGAAAAGUGACUAAGUG
rnacentral:lncRNA from 1 species